GAAAGGAGGCAGCGUGAAGGUGAUUUAAGCAACUUUCUAUCUAAAUAUUACCAAUUGAAUGUAAUGGUUUAUUUAGGCAUCAAGGUGUUGCUGUCUGUUUCUUGUCUUGUGGCCCCCUUUCAGACACAACAAUUACAAACAAAACAAUAACACCUUUCUUUCUUAGUUCCUUUAGGAUUCUUCUAGUGUGCUCUAACAUGUUUCUUGCUCCGUGUUUAAAUGGAUUGGCAGGGGAAAUGUUGUGGAAAUUGAAGUUUUCUGAUAAAUGCAAUGAUAGUAUAGUUAAAUUUAGCAAGGAAAUCCUUAGUUGUCAGAUUUUGUUUUUGUUGUUGAACUACUUAAUUCUUAUUGAAAAGGCCUGAUAUCCUG
rnacentral:misc_RNA from 1 species